rnacentral:rRNA from 1 species
UACGAAGGGGGCUAGCGUUGCUCGGAAUUACUGGGCGUAAAGGGAGCGUAGGCGGAUAGUUUAGUCAGAGGUGAAAGCCCAGGGCUCAACCUUGGAAUUGCCUUUGAUACUGGCUAUCUUGAGUAUGGGAGAGGUAUGUGGAACUCCGAGUGUAGAGGUGAAAUUCGUAGAUAUUCGGAGGAACACCAGUGGCGAAGGCGACAUACUGGCCCAUUACUGACGCUGAGGCUCGAAAGCGUGGGGAGCAAACAGG